rnacentral:rRNA from 1 species
UACGUAGGGGGCAAGCGUUGUCCGGAAUCAUUGGGCGUAAAGAGCGUGUAGGCGGCCAGAUAAGUCCGCUGUGAAAUCUCGAGGCUCAACUUCGAGCUGUCGGUGGAAACUGUCUGGCUAGAGUCCGGAAGAGGAGAAUGGAAUUCCUGGUGUAGCGGUGAAAUGCGCAGAUAUCAGGAAGAACACCCGUGGCGAAGGCGGUUCUCUGGGCCGAUACUGACGCUGAGGAGCGAAAGCGUGGGGAGCAAACAGG